UUUUACUGGAAAAAAAAAAAAAGCAGAGAUCCAUUAGAGGUUUUGAGUUGGUAAAUGAAAUGGUAAAAUCUGUGAUUUAAGAAAUAAAUUUAGAGCAAUAUUUAUUCAUGUAUGUUCUCAGGAAUAGUAAUUAAUGGGGUUACUACAAAAGUGUCUGCAAGGUCAAAUACAUGUGAAAAUAGAAAAUACUGCGAGUUUUCUCUACGACUUUAAGAUGUUAAUAGAUAUUUUGACUCUCCUAAACAAAAACACAGGAUUUUGCCAAUGUGACCAGGGAACCCUUUCUAGGAAAACCAUGCAUGGAUCAAGGAUCCCAUAUGUAGUGGCACCAAUCUAACUCUAUAAACUGAGAUAUGUAAGAAAUGUACUGUUCCACAUUUUAAGUAGCUCAUUUAAUUUCUACUUUGAUCCUUUCUUCUCAGAUUGUAGAACCUCAAGAUUUCUUCUUUUUCCCCAUGAGGGUGUGUUCUGGAGUCUAAUUGUGCCAAGGAAUUAGAGAGUUGUAGAAUAGUAGAGUGGCACUUAUCUGGUCCUCUCUGUCAUCUACAUAAGUUGGCAUCUGUGAGAUGGUCUAACCACUAUCCGGUCCCGAACAAUUGGUCUGUACAACUGUUGCUGAGACAUGUCUCAUUCAAAUCCACUGGUUCUCUUUACUUCCAUACUAUUCUUGGGC
rnacentral:lncRNA from 10 species